rnacentral:rRNA from 1 species
UACAGAGGUGGCAAGCGUUGUUCGGAAUUACUGGGCGUAAAGGGCGCGUAGGCGGCAAAUUAAGUCAUCUGUGAAAUCUCCGAGCUUAACUCGGAACGGUCAGGUGAUACUGAUCUGCUAGAGUGCGGAAGGGGCAAUCGGAAUUCUUGGUGUAGCGGUGAAAUGCGUAGAUAUCAAGAGGAACACCUGAGGUGAAGACGGGUUGCUGGGCCGACACUGACGCUGACAGCGCGAAAGCCAGGGGAGCAAACGGG